GGUCGCAUAGCUCAGUUGGCUAGAGCACAGUCCUCACACGACUGGGGUCACAGGUUCAAGUCCUGUUGCGACCA
rnacentral:tRNA from 2 species